GAGUCUAUUUAAUUUAAACAAAGACAACAGUAGGUACUGAUAUGAUAUGGUUUUUGCCCAGUACAUUCAAUGUCAGAGUGAAGAAAUUCAAUGAAGUUAAAUAAAUGGCACAGUAACUAUGAAUCUCUUAAGGUAGCCAACGCUUCGUCAUCUAAUCAGAGACAUGUAUGAAUUCAUGACCAAGAUUC
rnacentral:ncRNA from 1 species